UAGUGAACUGUCUCCACUAAACACUUACUGGUGGAGCGUCUUAGACUGUGGGACCUGAGGCGGCGGCAUCUCCCAGGAGCUGAGAAAGGCAUGGAUGGUACAGUAAUUACCCCCAGCCCUUGGUUCACGGAGCAGAUGUCUCAUUUCCAGAGGAUGGAAUCUUUAAAUUUUUCGAGGAGGCUCUCUCCGUCUCCGGGAAAUGACGGCGAUAUGAAGAUGCAGGACACAACAACCGUGAGAGUGUCUUCAGGCAAACGGGACUCUUGCUGCACCACAUUAGAAACCAAACUCUUUCUGCAGUUACAACUUAUGGUCCGGGCUAGUCUCAUGGUCGUUUGUUUACUAGUGUAGAUUAAUGAUCUGGGUUCACAAUUUAAAAAUUAAGAGUAAUGAGUAAUUAGUGUUAAUUAAUUGCCUUUGAAAUUAUUUUAGUAGGUUACGUUCUGACCUCGUAGUUUUAAAUGGCCUUUAUAUACAUUUUUAUAAAUAUAGGCUAAUAGGGUGUUUACUGAGCUAGAAAAGCCAGGAAAUAUUACAAAUAUAUGUGGAAUUUUAUUUGAAUUCAGUUCAACUUCAAAAUGUUACGUUGACAGCAAUCUUGCCAUAAAGUAAUGCUGUACUGUCACAUGUGAUGGUCUUAAAACAUUAUUUGAUUAAUUGGAGUAUGUAAGUCUUCAUAAAGUGAAGCUGCAUCAAUUUUAUGCUUUUAUGUAUUUUCUACUUGUGCUCAUCAAGACUGGUCUGCCAGAGCACAACACAUGUAUUACAAAAUAAAAGUAACUCCUGAAA